AUUGAACGCUGGCGGCAGGCCUAACACAUGCAAGUCGAGCGAGCGGCGGACGGGUGAGUAAUGUAUGGGGACUUCCCGAUAGAGGGGGAUAACUACUGGAAACGGUAGCUAAUCCCGCAUACUAUCGCAUAACCCAUAUGGGCUUAGCUAGUAGGUGAGGUAAUGGCUCACCUAGGCGACGAUCCCUAGCUGGUCUGAGAGGAUGAUCAGCAACACGGGGACGGAGACACGGCCCAGACUCCUACGGAGGCAGCAGUGGGGAAGUUUGGACAAGGGGGGAAACCCUGAGCCAGCCAGCCCGCGUGUAGGAUGAAGGCCUUCGGUUUGUAAAGUACUUUUGGCAGAGAAGCGGUAUCUGAAGAAUAAGCACCGGCUAACUACGUGCCAGCAGCCGCGGUAAUUC
rnacentral:rRNA from 1 species